rnacentral:rRNA from 1 species
AUGGCUACUACAAGCUGCUGGUUCUUGGUGUUCGUCUGGAUAGUAUGGUGGUUGCCGCUGAUGCUCGCCGGGCAUGAGGAGCAGCGGCAACCGGAAGGCUGCUCGGCCAAGAGUUGCGGCAACCUCACCAUCUCCGACCCAUUCUGGCUCGCUGAGAGUGAGGCGGGAAGGUCGUGUGGUCCCUUGGAUUUUGCGGUCGAUUGCUGGGAAGACAGUAUUCCAAUUCUCAAGAGCUCUGCAUUCAUUGGCUUCGCCAUCAAGGGCAUCUCGUACGAGGAACGCAGUUUGCGCGUCGUUGAUGCACAUAAAGUGCAAGACUUCAACGUCUCCAACAGCAGCUGCCACUUCCCGGGAUGGAACACCUCCGUCAAACUGGCACGGCCGUUCAAGGUCAGCCACGCCAAUUGUAGGUUCCGACUAGCCCUAGCUCUAGCCCUCUCCUCCCUCGCACUGAUCUCUCUCUCUCUCCGGCCGUGGCUCGAACCAGCGACGACGAGGUGGAAGGAGGAAGAAGGAGCACACAGUGGACACGGUGAGGUUUUUCCCGUCGCAACAACGCCUGUUCCCGAGCUCGUACUCAUCACCUCCGUCAACAACAAACACACGGGCGGGAGGGUUUUAUACCCGCGUCCAUCGGCGCACCACACCGCGCCCCGACGCACCCCCCUCCGCGCACUCCCCACGUCCCUGCGCUCCCGGCCCGCGCUCCCGCCGCGCACACACGCGAUCCGCGCGACCAGGUCCCGGAACAAUAAAGCAGCAAGAUUGAAGACUAUAGCUCGAGCAUUAGGCGGUGUCGGUGCUGUAUUAUUCUUGGUCGUGGCAUGUCUCGUCUAUUUUGUUUGGUACAAACACAAGAAGAGGAAACAAGCUAUAGCUUCAAAUGAGUUCAUGCGAAGUGGAUCUUCAAUGACGUCAUACAGUAAAGACCUCGAGUUGGAUGGUUCUCCUCAUAUAUUCACUUUCGAGGAACUUGAAGUAGCUACUGAUGGAUUUAGUGCUUCAAGGGAGCUUGGUGAUGGUGGUUUUGGAACUGUCUACAAAGGAAAACUCAAGGAUGGGAGAGUAGUUGCAGUGAAACGCCUUUACAAGAACAACUACAGACGGGUUCAGCAAUUUCUGAAUGAGGUUGACAUCCUGUCCCGCCUGCUCCACCAGAACCUUGUCAUCCUAUAUGGUUGCACGUCGCGCAUGAGCCGUGACCUUCUCCUGGUGUACGAGUUCAUCGCAAACGGGACGGUCGCAGACCAUCUUCACGGAUCUCGCUCAGCGGAACGAGGCCUCACAUGGCCUCUAAGGCUAAACAUUGCUAUAGAAACGGCUGAAGCACUGGCCUACCUCCAUGCCGUCGAGAUCAUACACCGGGAUGUGAAGACAACAAACAUAUUACUUGACAACAGCUUCCAUGUUAAAGUUGCAGACUUUGGGUUGUCGCGGCUGUUCCCUCUUGAGGUCACCCAUGUCUCGACCGUUCCACAGGGCACACCGGGCUACGUCGACCCGGUGUACCACCAGUGCUACAAGCUGACCGACAAGAGCGAUGUCUACAGCUUUGGCGUCGUGUUGGUGGAGCUGAUAUCAUCGAAACCUGCUGUGGACAUGAGCAGGAGCCACAGUGAGAUCAACCUGGCCAACAUGGCCCUCAACAGGAUUCAGAACCAUGAAGUUGUUCAGCUGGUUGAUCCGGAGCUCGGCUACGACACCGACCCCGAAACAAAGAGGACGAUCGAUUGCGUCGCCGAGGUGGCCUUCCAAUGCCUGCAGAUGGAUAGGGAUCUGAGGCCGUCGAUCAAGGAGGUGGUGGAGAUCCUGACUUGCGUCAGAAACAGAGACUGUCACGUUAAGAGCAUGAAGAAGCAGGCGUCUCAGAAAGAGGAUGCGGACUUUCUCACGGAUGGCCUGCAGUUUUCGCCUGAUACGGUCAUCCAUAGAUUCCAUAGCCAGUCAACUAACCACUCCGGGGCGUCAAAUGCUAGCGGAUUAUCUAACAUGAAAUGCUGA